rnacentral:rRNA from 1 species
GUGCCAGCAGCCGCGGUAAUACGUAGGCAGCAAGCGUUGUUCGGAAUUACUGGGCGUAAAGAGUGCGUAGGUGGUUGGCUAAGUUUGGUGUGAAAUCUCCCGGCUUAACUGGGAGGGUGCGCCGAAAACUGGCUAGCUAGAGUGUGGGAUAGGGAAGCGGAAUUCCUGGUGUAGCGGUGAAAUGCGUAGAUAUCAGGAGGAACGCCUGCGGUGUAGACGGCUUCCUGGACCAUGACUGACACUGAGGCACGAAAGCGUGGGUAGCAAACAGGAUUAGAAACCCCAGUAGUCC